ACAGCAUAAGGCAAGGCUCUGAACAUAAGGUAGCUGCAGAGAAUGGAACUCUUGAAGCCGGCGAGUAGCGGCAGAAACUGUAGCGAUAACAUCCUACUGGGCUCUUCAAAGGCGUUGGUGAAGCACAGUGCUCCUGGAACCCUGGACAGUGCUGCCAACAGAAAAUGGAAACCACUGUAGCGAUAACAUCCUACUGGGCUCUUCAAAGGCGUCGGUGAAGCACAGUGCUCCUGGAACCCUGGACAGUGCUGCCAACAGAAAAUGGAAACCACUGUAGCGAUAACAUCCUACUGGGCUCUUCAAAGGCGUCGGUGAAGCACAGUGCUCCUGGAACCCUGGACAGUGCUGCCAACAGAAAAUGGAAACCACUGUGGCGGUAACAUGCGGUUGUUGUCUGAUCUUCGCUGUCUCGACGCCCUGAGUCCUGUCUUCAGCGAUUAUCCUGUACUGACAGGUAAAAUAGCAAUAAGGAAUAAAUUAAGCGAUCUAUACACCAAGAAGAGUGUGUCGGCGACUCGGCGUGAACAAAAAGAAGACAAAUAUAUGUAAA